CUUCGGCUUCCGAACUGGCCUUGAUAAAAAUGUCUGCCUAACAGCGCAAACACUGCUGUGCCAGUGCAGCACUGUCAACUGGAAAACGUCAAUGAACCAUUCUAACAAUGCCAACCACUUGGAGCCAAGUUUCCUGACCCAGGCUGUUAUGGCCACACCCAGUUCCACCUGGUCCCUGAUAGGUAUCGCAGGGACAAAAUGGCUUAACUGAAUCUGACUGACCAGAUUGAGGUCUACCUGAGAGCUCAUGGCAUUGCCAGUCUAUUCACAUGGACAGGAGCACAAGCCAUGUAUCAUGCUCAACUCCCUGGCCCUGGCAAUGAGACGGAUGCUGUGAACCCCAGGAAUAACUUAUGCUGGGGGACAGACAGUAUUCAUCUGUAUGAAAUGAAGCAUGGUGUUGUGGUUCGGCUGGAUGACAGGGUCCUCAAGCUCCUGGUCUGGUUCCUAAUGGGCAGGUCAGGUGGACAUGGAGAGAUGGUGUAUGCAGGGUGAAAUACGUGUUUUUGUUGAAUUGUUUCCAUCUGGAUUCAACAGUGGCAAAUGUCAAUUCAUGUACACUGAACAUGUGUGUGUAUCUCUGGUAUGAUCUGGCAGAAUGUAUUCAUGUGGAAAGUAAAAACAGUUGCAUACAGGGUUGAUUGGUGUCCAUACCACUAAGGACCUAUCAUGGUUCAAACACACCAACAUAGUUGUGAAGUGGCCACAACAAUGCCUCUUCCCCCUCAGGAGGCUGAAAAGAUUUGGCAUGGGCCCCUCAGUUAUUCAAAAAGUUAUACAGCAGCACCAUGGUGAGCAUCUUGACUGGCUGCAUCACCUCUUGGUAUGGCAACUGCUUGGCAUCUGACCGCAAGGCGCUGUGGGGGGUUGUGCGUGCCUACGGCCCAGUACAUCACGGGUUGAGCUCCCUGCCAUCCAGGACCUCUAUACCAGGCUGUUUCAAUGGGGAAAGAUUGGCUCGUACCCCGCUUCAGUAAUUAUUGUUGAAAACCCUGCUUCCGGUGUUCUGCUGUUUUGCCACGAGGUGUCGCUUAGUCAAUGUGGACAAACGGCACAACCACAGAUGGAACAAGGAGACUGAUGUUUCACCGGAUGUAUAAAUCUGAAGCAUCCGGUUGGAAUUUCCACCCCUCACCAAAUAUGGUGAGGAGAGGAAGCCCAGUGGGAGAGUAUGGAGCGAGAUGGAACUGGGCUGGCGUUCUGCGGAUUUUUCUCAUAGAAGAAGAAAAGCCCGAUCUCAAUUAGUUAUCUUUUCCCAAAACUAGAAUCUGUUACAGAGUGCAAUAAGUUUUGUAGAUGUGACCCUUUGCCAAAGUUCCCUAAUGGAAAUAUGCAAAUAAAUGCUAGAACGCACCAAUAGGA